UAUACACUACAGAGAUAACCCUUUAAUUUGAUGAUCAAUUAUUUUAAUUGUACACAUGUUGUUCUUUUCAAAACAGAGGAUAUGUUGUUUCUUCCAUUAUAAUAUAGUCUUUACAUUAUAAAUUGGGUAAAUUGUGAAAAAAUUUAAUGCAUACCCGCAUUAGUGGUUACAAAACAACAGUUAUAGAUUGAGAUUGAAAGAAAAUCUUUAAAUUCAUAAAGCUAGUAAAUAUUAAAGACAUUUAUGGACCUAGGUAACAUUUCUAUUGUAGUAGUCAAACAUUCAAUUUUCAGUGAUAAGCAUUUACCUUAAUGUCAAUAUAGCUAUGUACAAUUAAUUAUGGUACAAAUUAUCAUUUGAGUGUUGGAUGCAUUGAAAGGAGAUCCUGAAAUCGAAAGGUUAUAACGAGCCUAAUGAAAUAUACUGGCUCGAUAUAACACUUCAAUUCUAACAUCUAUCAUUCUAUAAUGUUCAAAUAUCAUAGUCCUAAAUUCAACAAAGGGGUAGAUUAUACAAAUUCCAAACACUAUAUCUCACUAUAAUUCGAUACUUAAUUUAUUCAAAUAUCAUAGUCCUAAAUUCAACAAAGGGGUAGAUUAUACAAAUUCCAAACACUAUAUCUCACUAUAAUUCGAUACUCAAUUUAUUAAAAUACAAUAAACAGACAUAUUGAUAGCUUAUCAUUAAAUGUAUGUGAACCCUGAUAUUAAAAUGCUAAAACAACGCAUAAUUUUCAAUUUGUUCAAGUUAAACAAGUAAAUUAUUAUAAUCUAUUAUUGAUCUAAAAUGAUAAAGUCUAUUAUAAAGAAA